GCGCAUCUGGUGUAGUGGU
rnacentral:siRNA from 1 species